AACGAACGCUGGCGGCGUGGAUAAGACAUGCAAGUCGAACGGGCCCCAAAGUUCCCGCAAGGGAGUUUCGGGGUUAGUGGCGAACGGGUGCGUAACACGUGGGGAAUCUGCCGAGAAGUGGGGGAUAGCUCGCCGAAAGGCGAAUUAAUACCGCAUAUGAUCAGGGAAGACAUCUUUCCAACAUCAAAGCCGGGGCAACCUGGCGCUUCUUGAUGACCCCGCGGCCUAUCAGCUAGUUGGUGAGGUAACGGCCCACCAAGGCUAUGACGGGUAGCUGGUCUGAGAGGACGAUCAGCCACACUGGGACUGAGACACGGCCCAGACUCCUACGGGAGGCAGCAGUUGGGAAUAUUGGGCAAUGGGCGCAAGCCUGACCCAGCGACACCGCGU
rnacentral:rRNA from 1 species